AAGCCCGGCCCAAUGCCUUCCCAACGAAGCCCUAGAAUGCAGAGAGGAAACAACCACUUGCCGUUCUUCUUCGACUUCUUACCUACCGCCGCUCUCCGUCUCGCUCCUCCUCGCCCGAUGUCGGAGAAGAAGCGACGCCGCACCGAAGCGGGCCCCCCGGCGGCCUCCACCUCGGCCUCCGCAGCCUCGAAGAAGUUGCGGCGGCCGGACUCCCACGCCCAAGGGCUGCGGAAGUUGCUGAAGCCCGACGCCGAGAUCCUCGCCUCCGUCCGCGAGAUGUAUGAUGCUGCCCAGUCGGCCGCCUCCUCCUCCAAGGCCCUCACCCUCUCAGACCUUAGCCUCUCUGCCGCCUGCCGCGAGGUCUCCGACUGCGACGCCGCCUCCGUGCAGCUCGCCAUCGAGCGCGCCGUCCUUGCGAUGGCCCGCUCCAUUCUCGCUGGCCGCGGCUUCUCCUUCGAUGUUCCCUCCCGCGCCGCCUCCAACCAGCUCUACGUCCCCGAGCUGGACCGCAUCGUCCUCCGCGACAAGUCCUCCUCCCGCCCCUUCGCCAGCCUCUCCACCGUCCGCAAGGCCACCAUUACUGCUAGGGUCCUCUCUCUCGUCUACCUCGUCCUUCGUCGCGACAUCCACGUCACCAAGCGCGAUCUCUUCUACACCGACGUCAAGCUCUUCCAGGACCAGUCCCAGUCCGACGCCGUCCUCGACGACGUCUCCUGCAUGCUCGGUUGCACGCGAUCCUCCCUCCACGUCGUUGCCUCCGAGAAGGGCGUCGUCGUCGGCCGCCUUGUCUUCACCGAUGACGGUGAUCGCAUUGACUGCACCAAGAUGGGCAUCGGCGGGAAGGCCAUCCCUCCAAACAUCGACCGCGUCGGCAACCUCGAGAGCGAUGCCCUCUUCAUCCUCCUCGUGGAGAAGGACGCCGCCUUCAUGCGGCUGGCCGAGGACCGCUUCUACAACAGGUUCCCCUGCAUCAUCGUCACAGCCAAGGGCCAACCGGAUGUGGCCACCAGGCUCUUCCUUAGGCGGAUGAAGACCGAGCUCAAGCUGCCGGUCCUCGCGCUGGUCGACAGUGAUCCCUACGGCCUCAAGAUCCUCUCCGUGUACAUGUGUGGAUCAAAGAACAUGUCUUACGACAGUUCAAACUUGACGACGCCGGACAUCAAAUGGCUGGGUGUCCGACCGAGUGAUCUGGACAAGUACAGGGUACCGGAGCAGUGCCGUCUACCCAUGACGGAGCAGGACGUCAAGGCUGGGAAAGACUUGUUGGAGGAGGACUUCGUGAAGAGGAAUGGUGGGUGGGUCAAGGAGCUCGAUAUGAUGGUGAAGACAAGGCAAAAGGCUGAGAUACAGGCGCUCAGUUCAUUCGGCUUCCAGUAUCUCACUGAGGUGUAUUUGCCCCUCAAGAUACAGCAGAGGGAUUGGCUAUGAACUUGUCUUCUGAAACCAGCAGUGGGUAACAUUGAAGCAUGGUGGGUACCAAGAUGAUCGUAAAGCAUGGACUCGUACCAUUUCCAGAUACUUAAUUUAAGAUGUAUACAGUUUUAUGAAUCAAAUUAGAUGUCCUCCCUAUGGAUUAAAUCGGCCAUGAGUUGUUCCAAAGAAUGCACAUUGUUGACCAAGCCGCAGUACACCGACUGAGAGUAGAGAGCUUCCACGUCACGGAUCUGACAAAACAAUCGUCAAUCGUUCAACGCGAUGAGCUGUCUUCUUCUUCUGUCUGCAGUGCCGUCAGAAAAGUAAGUCCGGUCGUCUUGCAAUCUUUUUCUUCUUCUUCUUCUUCGUCUUCCAACCGGAAAACGAAGUGCAGUCAUCUAAUCUUUACUUGUGUUCUUUGUCUUUCCUGCUCCCCUAAUGCGGCCGGUGGAGCCCAUGGAGAUCGCAUCGGGGGGGACAAGCAAUUGAUAGCUUCGGAUUCGGAUUCUCUUGUUCAACAGACAAGAACCGGUCAAUGCUGCCUAACCUUUUACUUCUUAUCCUCUCGCAUGUGCGCUCUGCUUCACCCUCUCCUGUGCUCUUCCAUGGUUUCUUGGAGCUUCUGCCGAGGUGACCAGCCAUGCAACUGAUGUUGAUGUCAAAAUGCUGGACAGACAGCUUGAGAUCAAGGAACACAUCCAUCCAUGCAA